CAAACACCAGAGCCUGAAGCGGAUCUGAGUUACCAUGGAAACGGGGAAACGUCAGUCAGCAAGACCCCGUCUAGCUGUUGUUUUCACUGAUUUUAGGGUCGACAGAAAACCCCCUCUACAACAAAGGAGAAGCUGACAGAGGAGGAGGAAACACAGAUCCUUCCAUGCGGAUGGACUCCUGCAUCUCAGCAGAGCUGAGUGACCUCCUGUCAAAGGCCAUGAACCAGAUGAACCUCAAUCAUUCAGCACACUACUGUUGAAAAGUUGUGGGUCUGUAAGAUUUUUACAUGUUUUUGAAAGAAGUCUCACAUUUUAAAAUCAUUAACCCCGGGUUGUUUUAGUGAGAUUGUCCUUGAAAGGCCUGUAGGCUAAAUAAUCAUCUAAAUGAGGUAACAUAGGUGACAAGUAUAAUGUUAUAAUGCUUGUAGUUAUAAUCAUUUAUUUAACUAUUAUAAUAACAGGAUAUCAUGGUCAUUAAUCUAUUUUAUUGUAUUUCUCUAUGUCUGUUUGUAGUUAUGUUUGCCAGUGAACAGACACCAUACUGUUCCACUAAAAGAUGAGAUGUAAUCUCUAGCGUUUGGUGCUGAGAUUCUUCAGGACAACGCCUUGAUGCCAUUCACACUCAGUACAUGAAGAAGAUUCACCAAACAUCUGGCUGAUUACUGGCAAUUUGCAGUAAUGACAGUGGACAAGUGAAGAGAGAGGAGGGGAGGGCAUCAGAAAGGACCUUGAGCUGCUGCGACUGUCUUGGAUAACCCAAAGCACAACUACACUAUGUGUCCAAGAUCCUGGCCUGUGUCCAUUCUCAAACUGUUCCACGAACCUCCACUGCACAAAAGGCAGUUCCAGGACAGAAAUAUCGGUACCCUCACUCUUCACCAGUCAUCACAUUCACAACCACCACAGUCAACGAAGUCAAGGUCCCUGGUCCACAGCAUCAACCAUCUUUGUAGGAAGAUGAUUACUGCAUUUCUUGAUGUAUCUUUAAAAUUGACAGAUUUCUUAUGGAGUGCAAUCCCUCUCUAGAUGAACUGAGGCCUAUCGAUCUUACAAAAUACUGUCAGACACUGCAUAUGAUGUUCUCAAAAUAAUAAAUAAAUUAAUAAAAUACUUAAGAAUUU